GCGAACGCUGGCGGCAGGCUUAACACAUGCAAGUCGAGCAGGCAUCUUCGGAUGUCAGCGGCAGACGGGUGAGUAACACGUGGGAACGUACCCUUCGGUUCGGAACAACUCUGGGAAACUGGAGCUAAUACCGGAUACGCCCUUAUGGGGAAAGGUUUACUGCCGAAGGAUCGGCCCGCGUCUGAUUAGCUAGUUGGUGGGGUAACGGCCUACCAAGGCGACGAUCAGUAGCUGGUCUGAGAGGAUGAUCAGCCACACUGGGACUGAGACACGGCCCAGACUCCUACGGGAAGCAGCAGUGGGGAAUAUUGGACAAUGGGCGCAAGCCUGAUCCAGCCAUGCCGCGUGAGUGAUGAAGGCCUUAGGGUUGUAAAGCUCUUUUGUCCGGGACGAUAAUGACGGUACCGGAAGAAUAAGCCCCGGCUAACUUCGUG
rnacentral:rRNA from 1 species